AAAAGAUUACUUUCUAUCACGAUUUUACUUGAAUCGUGGUACAAAGUGAAAAACUUUCCCCCUCCAUAGGCGGGAAUUAUUCCCGCUAAUUGUGGAAAAUAAAAAAGAAAUCCUCAGUACAAAAAACGCAUAGAAAGUGAAAAUUUUCCUUGCCUCCACAGGCGGGAAUUAUUCCCACUAAUUGUGGAAAAUAAAAAAGAAAUCUUUAGUAAAAAAAACGCAUAGAAAGCUAAAAUUUUCCCCACCUCCACAGGCGGGAAUUAUUCCCUCCAAUAAUUGACACAUCACACAUGUUCUUACACACUAAAUAUUUUUAUCUAAAAAAAAAUAAAAAAUAAACUAUUAUAUACACACACCCACACAGAAGAAGCAUUUCUACAAAACAUUUACUGUCGAUAUAUACACAGCUCAGACGAUGUUCCCCUUUUCGAUCAAAACAGGCGACGAUUGAGACUCUUGCGGGGAUAUCUUUGACAACUGGGGUCGGUCUUUCCAUGACUAGUACACGCGAACAUGCCGCAUUCUUUCUUUCUCCAAAAUGAACCAAGCCCUAACCCUCUUUCUAUCGAAUCCCUUUUAUCUAUGAUUUGAAGUAGUCUGGUGUCGUGGAAGCAAUCUUUGUGUAACAGAGAUCAUUUUUAUCCAAGUCCUAACCCUCCCUCUCUCAUUCGAAGCCCCUAUUAUCCAAGCCCUAACCCCAUUCCUCCCAUUCAAAGGAAACUUUGGCAUCAAACCCCUGAUCUUGCAAAUCGGUCUUUCCGCCGUCUCUCAUGGAUCAAUUAAGUCUUGUUGCGGUUGCAUCCCAUAAGAGAUUUCCUUUCAAAGAUGACUCUGCUCGAUCUCCCUCGCCUAAAAAGGUCGGCACACCAAUGUUUACAGCAUUUUUGAGAUUUCCAUUUCCACCGCAGGGGAAGCCCUAAUUUGUGUUUGCAUUGAUUAAUUUUGAAGAUUUGGAGUAAACCCCUAACGAGGUACGAAGCCUUGGUUCGUGAUGCCUAGCAUUCCUUGAAUGUCGUGUAGCUUUCAAGUUUCCAUUUCAUGCAAAUGUUAGCAUGAAAUGUCAUUUUGUAGACUUAUAUGUCAAAAUAUGUAUAUUUGAUUCCAUGUA